rnacentral:rRNA from 1 species
GCGGAGGAAAAGAAACCAACUGGGAUUGCCUCAGUAACGGCGAGUGAAGCGGCAACAGCUCAAAUUUGAAAUCUGGCGCCUUGGGCGUCCGAGUUGUAAUUUGUAGAGGGAGUCUCGGGUUAAGGGUCGGUCCAAGUGCCUUGGAACAGGAUACCGAAGAGGGUGAGAGUCCCGUAUCCGGCCGACGCCAGCGCCCGUGUGAGGCCCCUUCGACGAGUCGAGUUGUUUGGGAAUGCAGCUCUAAAUGGGUGGUAAAUUCCAUCUAAAGCUAAAUACUGGCCAGAGACCGAUAGCGCACAAGUAGAGUGAUCGAAAGAUGAAAAGCACUUUGAAAAGAGAGUCAAACAGUACGUGAAAUUGUUGAAAGGGAAGCGUAUGUGGGCAGACUUGGACGCUGGAUUCAGGCCGCCUUCUGGCGGGUGCAUUUUCCAGCGGACAGGCCAGCAUCGGUUCUGAGGGCCGGACAAAGACGAAGGGAAUGUGGCUCCUCUCUGGGGAGUGUUAUAGCCCGGCGUGCAAUGCGGCCAACUUGGGACCGAAGGACC